rnacentral:rRNA from 1 species
GCACAAGCGGUGGAGCAUGUGGUCAAUUCGACGCAACGCGAAGAACCUUACCUGGGCUUGAAUCGCAGUGGACAGGAGUCGGAAACACUCCCUCCCUUCGGGGCCGCUGUAGAGGUGCUGCAUGGCUGUCGUCAGCUCGUGUCGUGAGAUGUCGGGUUAAGUCCCUCAACGAGCGCAACCCCUGCCAUUAGUUGCCAUCAUUUGGUUGGGCACUCUAAUGAGACUGCCGGUGACAAACCGGAGGAAGGUGGGGAUGACGUCAAGUCCUCAUGGCCCUUAUGGGUAGGGCUUCACACGUCAUACAAUGGUCGGUACAGAGGGUUGCCAACCCGCGAGGGGGAGCUAAUCCCACAAAGCCGAUCGUAGUCCGGAUCGCAGUCUGCAACUCGACUGCGUGAAGUCGGAAUCGCUAGUAAUCGUGGAUCAGCAUGUCACGGUGAAUACGUUCCCGGGUCUU